GUUGUCCUACGGGGCGCAGCAGUGGGGAAUAUUGGACAAUGGGGGGAACCCUGAUCCAGCGACGCCGCGUGAGUGAAGAAGUAUUUCGGUAUGUAAAGCUCUAUCAGCAGGGAAGAAAGAAAUGACGGUACCUGACUAAGAAGCCCCGGCUAACUACGUGCCAGCAGCCGCGGUAAUACGUAGGGGGCAAGCGUUAUCCGGAUUUAUUGGGUGUAAAGGGAGCGGAGACGGCGAUG
rnacentral:rRNA from 1 species